UACGUAGGUGGCAAGCGUUGUCCGGAUUUAUUGGGUUUAAAGGGUGCGUAGGCGGCUUUGUAAGUCAGUGGUGAAAUAUGGCAGCUCAACUGUCAGGGUGCCGUUGAUACUGCGGAGCUUGAGUACAGAUGAGGUAGGCGGAAUUGACGGUGUAGCGGUGAAAUGCUUAGAUAUCGUCAAGAACACCGAUAGCGAAGGCAGCUUACUGGGCUGUAACUGACGCUGAGGCACGAAAGUGUGGGGAUCAAACAGG
rnacentral:rRNA from 1 species